UUAAGGAUUUUUGCUUGUCAUGUUUUGGAAUUUUGUCAGAUUUUCGAAAUCCUCUGGUUUUAUCCAUUUGAAUGCCUUAAAAAAAAUUGCCCACGGACCCCCAAUUUUCUUUUUAUAAAUCUUUCACAUGCAUAAUUAUAAGCCAUUUGUUAAAGUCUUAUACAAUCUUAUUUAUUUUUUAAUAGUUUUUGAGAACUUUAACUGGUCAAUGAUAAAGCUAUGAAAAAUCAAGCGGGAACAUUUUCCCGCCAAAAUUCCAAUGGCUAAUAUCUCGAAAACAAGCACAUUGACCCUAUAUUUUUUUUGCUUUUUUGAUUCCUCAAUUAAUCCCCUAUCAAUAUAUACUAGUUUUAUGGAAAGUUAUUUAUUUUGAAACUGAGCAGCAAACAUCCUUAAG
rnacentral:lncRNA from 1 species